CGUUGAUUACGUCCCUGCCCUUUGUACACACCGCCCGUCGCUACUACCGAUUGAAUGGCUCAGUGAGGCGUCCGGACUGGCUCAGGGAGGGUGGCAACUCCCACUCAGAGCCGGAAAGCUCUCCAAACUUGGUCAUUUAGAGGAAGUAAAAGUCGUAACAAGG
rnacentral:rRNA from 1 species